GAUCAUCAACUAUAUCAUUAAUAUUGUCAAAAUCUCAUUAGCUCUCGUCAUUGAUUAUUAUUAUUAUUAUUUCUUUAUUUUCCACAUGAUCUGUACAAUUUAGGUCAUGGAAUUGGGUUGUCAGGUUGCAUCAGAUACACAUGUUUCUCUGGAGACCCUUGCAAGCACUCAUCUGUUAUGGACAUGAUGUUCCAAGAAAGUAUAUAUAUACUUCAGGAUCUCUCUUGAAUAUCUAGAGAAGCAUCAGCAGAUUUAGUCUUCCGGAUGCAAGUGCCAGAAUCCAUGAUGUGGUCCUCGAAUAAACAAGUGGAAGACAAUCGAACAUGCCAUGGCCUCUGAUGUUCUCCAGAAUGUGUGCUCUGUACACCUUUGAAUUCUGGCAAUGUGUGGAAAGCUCACUCACAGUCGAUACAAAGGGGUGGAAAGCUCAGGAUUUGGGAUCCAAACAAAGAGAGAACUCGUGAUGCACAUCACAGCAUACUCAAAAAGACUUUUUUCUUUAGAAAGCUGAAAUAUCCAUCUGGAGCAUGCGUAUCUGAUGGAUAAGUUCAUCUGUAUAGAUCAGACUGCCAUGCAAUGAUUGUCACUAAAGAUCUGGAGGCACAAUUUACUAUUCAAGCAGGACCACCUUGCUGCGGAAGAACAAGGACAAAAAUGUUUGGGUUUGGAACCUUUGUUGUUUUCCCUGGAGUUACUGGGAUAAGCUUCCCCAUUUCAGAAAGACACUGCAUUUAAUUAGUAUGUGGCGCAGCAUCAUAAUAAGCCAUCACAAGCUGGGAUUCUGUGGUAUGAUGACUAUCUCGAUCACACUCAUCUGCACUCAUUAGAAUUGCUGAAUUAUUUACUUGGAAAAGCCAUGUCUUCUUCUUCUGCUGUGCCAUGGAAGGAAUCAUUAGAAUUUAUUUAGUUUGUAUUAUGGUGCCAGUUUAUUCGAUGUUGCAGGCCCUCAAAAUGAUCAUGAAAAUCCAGAAAACUAGUUGUCAUUUGUCGCUUGCAGAUUCAAAUUGUGAUGUGUAGGAGGAUCUCAAUCAAAGUUGACUCACAUGUGAUCGGACAUGAGGAUCCACAUCUUGCUAGGAUCUUAUUGAGCUGCUGCCCAUGUGAUCCAGCAGGAGUCGGAGAUCAUCUUGGCCCGGUGAGUUCUACCGUUCCGGUGCUCUCUGUUCCAUAGGUAACAGUGGUGGGUCGAGGGAACGAGGUACAAGGAGUAGGUAAAGUUGUUGGGUGCCACGACCACCUGAAGGCUCCAUGUCUGCGCUCCUUGCAUCAGCUGUUUUGUUCUCAUCCGAGCAUGGCCGCAGCGACCUAAAUGACCACCUCCUUCCCCGAGGUACACUCCCUGCUCCUUUCCUCCAUCCUUAUCUUGACCUAUUCCAGUCUUUGUUGGCAGUUCUUAAGAUCCAGCAGGAGAUGUCCUUCGGAGCCAAACGGUUUCAUCCGAGUCGAGUUGGGAGUCCUGACAUGAUGUUGUCAUUCUCUUCCAAUAUAAUGGUAGGAGAAACCCAGCGGCACACUCCCAACUCCAGUCCACUCCCUUCGGAGGAGAGUAAGAUGGAGUCUGAGCCUCGGUCUCCACCGCCACCGCCAUCGAGUGUCGAUCUUUCCCUCACCUUGGCCUCGUCUUCCUCCCCGUCCUCCGCCGGACGCCGCGGCGCAAGGGACGCCAGGCUCUUCCCCUGUCUCUUCUGCAACAAGAAGUUCCUCAAGUCACAGGCACUCGGAGGCCACCAGAAUGCCCACAAGAAGGAGAGGAGCACCGGGUGGAACUCCUACCUUUACCUCCCUCCUGCGGCCGGCGGCCACCACCUCAAGCCAUAUCCAAUCUCCCUCGCCUCCCACUCUUGCAGACCCAUCACGAGCAGUUACCCCCUCGGCCAUCUCUCCGGCAGCUUCAGCUCCUACUGCACCGAUGCCGUCGAUCUCCUGAAUUGGCAAAGAGCUUCUCAUCCUCAACAGCCACACGCGCAGGAUCUUCUUGGCUCUGCAGCCGCAGCAGCAACAGCCGCUGCUGGUACCACCGCUACGGUUGGAGAAGACAGGACCAAACUCGAUCUCUCCUUAAGGCUCUGGUCUUAGGUUGCUUAUCUGCAGCUGCUGCUACUUUCCCUACUCCUACUGCUUUCUUGUUCAUUGUUUUGUUUGCGUCUUCCGGUUGGUUCUCUUACCUCUAGUGGCUCACUGCUGCAGCAGGGUGGCCAUGUAGGAGGAUGGGUUGGAAGGGAAGAAGAAGACUAUUAUUUGUGCA